UAGGUGUUGUUCCCCCGAGGUUCGCCUACGGAAGUCCCCAGCGACGACUCAAAACAAGUGCUCCGAGUCUGCCUCCGGGCGGGCGACGCCUUCCUUCUGCCCUGGGAGUGCCCUCCACCGGGCCCACCAGCAGCUUUUGCAAGCUCACAGAUCAGACGAAUGCGGUCACUGCGGUGGUUUUGAUAUGACCGGCCGUGGCUGUCACCAGCCAUUGACGUUGCGGAACCUGCGGAAGGAUCAUUACAGAGAGGGGCUUCGCGCUCCAGGGGACCCCGGUCCCCGCCUCUACACCCUGUGAUUACCUUACCUCUUGUUGCCUUGGCGGGGGGUACCCCGCCAGCAGCCCACCGAAACUCGUUUGAUCCAUGUCCGUCCGAACCGAAUUCAUAAUGAAUCAAAACUUUCAACAACGGAUCUCUUGGUUCUGGCAUCGAUGAAGAACGCAGCGAAAUGCGAUAAGUAAUGUGAAUUGCAGAAUUCAGUGAAUCAUCGAAUCUUUGAACGCACAUUGCGCCCCUCGGUAUUCCGGGGGGCAUGCCUGUUCGAGCGUCAUUACACCAUUCAAGCGUAGCUUGGUAUUGGGUCCUUCGCCCGGGGUCCCCCCCGCGGCGUGCCCGAAAAGCAUUGGCGGUCCGGUGUGACUUGAAGCGCAGUAAAUUUUCUCCCGCUUUGCAAGCCUCGCGCUGUGGCCGGCCAGACAACCCCAUUUAUCUCACGAUUGACCUCGGAUCAGGUAGGGAUACCCGCUG
rnacentral:rRNA from 1 species